CUUUGGGUUUGUUUUUCCAGAAAGGCAACAAGCCCACUUUUGCAAAUAAAAUAAAUGGAAACAAGGCUUUGAAGUUCAAAAAUCUUCUUCUGAAUAAUUGGUUAGCCAUGUGGCCAAGCACAUGGACAGAUUAGAUGUUCAUGAAUUGGCUAUAACAUAAGCUUGGCUGAUUGGCAGAACCUUCAAAACCUCUUCUUUAAUGUGAUUAAUGGCAAAAAGGAAAGCUAAGCUAUACUUCUGUUAAAGAUCAGUUAAAAGAUCCUUCCUUCUGUGCAGUGUCUGGAAGAUCAGUUAGUUCAGAAAGCAGAAACUAGUACUUCAUAGAACCGACAUUUAGGAAAUCUGAAAUAAGAAGUUUUGUAUUUCUCUUUGACUGGGUUGUCAUUAAUCGCUGCAUUUUCCUGACCCACAUCUCUGCCUUGUUUCACUAGCAGUGAAUUGUGCAUCCUGCAUCUUUUAUGACCCACUGCAGUCCUUUCCUGUGGAAAAAGUGCUUGCCCUGAGUGGCAGAGCAUGUGUGCUGUAUAAGGAAAGGGAGAGGGAAGGGUCAGGGGAAAAGGGAAAGAGAAGGUGGAUCAGUGUUAAGGAAGAGCUCCUUGAAAUUCUCAUCACAUUUCUCUGAUUUACAUUGAUACCUACAGUGGAAUCAAGCUUUAUGAAAAGUCACCUUUGUGCUGUCGGCCAGAAAAGGACUUGCAGGUCUAUGGGAUGAGGAAGCAGUGCAAGUAGCCAACAGGAGGAAAAAGGGACACCUGACUUUUCAAAUGGUUCACUUCCUAUCUGUUUAUGCUGAGGUAUUUCUCAAGGCAGUAACGUUAAUACUGAAGAUGGGCAGCCGUAAGCUGGGCAAAGCACAGAGAAUAUGGAGUAAAAACAGAUUGUUCCGGGAAACAGGACAGAGAUCUCCAUGCAGCACAGCAAAUUUAUAUGCAGUCUGAUUAAGAUUAUCUCCCCCCACUGAUAAUGUAACAUGGCACAACAUGAAAACUUCUUUCUCUGCUCAAGAAGAGCAGGAAUGGCAAGGCACCAAAGUGGAACCACCCUCUGAGAAUC